UUGAAUGAUAUGACUGUAAACACACAUUCUGCAUUACAUAACCUAAAAUGUUCUUUCCAUUAUAUGCAGUCAGCUUUAAUACUGUAUGUCAUGAUGGAACAGUAAGUUCCAGCAUAGAAAGGGUUAGGUUUUCCACUUUCUCCCAAUUCAAUAAGCCUUCUUCUAGAAUCCACAUUUUGAGGAAACCUCACAGUAGGGGGUAAUUCACAAAUACCCACUAAAUGUCAUAAGGACAGACUGUCUGGCUAGGGGACUGAUAACACAAUUAUCAUACCUGUGCUAUAGUGGAGUGGUCUUGUCUCGAGGCAGAUUUAAAGGUAAUAUUGGUUUAUGCUCAUAACAUAAAUAUCAUCUAAUACAGAUAUAAAUCAUUGCACCCAUUACUUACCUUAUAGCUAGGACUUCUCGAGGAGUCCAAACACGCCCAUAUUAUUAUGAUCCCUCCCAGUGUUACCCGAUAUUCUGAUAAGGCCAGAAUAAUGUGUGUUGGUCUUGGGGUGUUUGGUCUCUAUGAAAAUAGAAUUAAAUUUCCUACCUGGUACUCAUAGUUUCAUAAUUUUGCUAUACAACCACAAAUAGUUUAGGCUGGUUGAAAGAUCUAUGUAUCCAGAAUAGCCAGUUGUAAAUUGGUGACCCGCCCUCACCUUUCUCAUUGGAUGGGGGCGUGACCUUUCACUUCCCAACCUGGAUAUCAAGGGUCCAGACAACUGGGAAGAUGUAUGCCUUUGGGGACCAAGCUGCUUGGGAGGUAUAUGUCGUUAUUCUUCCGUUCCCCCAGAACAGGACUCAUAUAAUAUCCUUCUGUAGGUGAUCUCCAAAGAGAUGAAGAGGGAAGAAGUGAGGCAGAAUUGCUGCUUUAAUGGCUGUGAACCUUUCUUUUGUCUUAAGUGAUAUGGAUACAUAAUACCUCAUUCUGUUGUACAGGAGCUAAGCCAGCAAAUCUGCAUCAGAGCGCAUGCUGGAAAGUGCUGCUACAGACAAGCACAAGUGGAGAACAAUGAAACUGAAAAAAUGGUGCUGUUUAGAAGAUUUAGCAUAGGAGAAAUUUAGCAUUUUUCUUCACUGAAACAUAAAGCCUAGGCGCUUGCUGGAGAGAGAAAUAUCUAAGGGGAAUUAGGGGAUAUACGACUGCACAGCAAAUGUGAAGGACAAAAUAAACUACUGGAAACCCCAAAUGUGCAUUAAGUCAGGUGAAAUUUAUAUCUCUAGUUUUCUCCAUCACUCUCAGGGGUGGAGUCGGCCCCUUCCAGUUCAUGUACAGCUGCUGGCUGUCAAACAAAUAUGUUCUGCUGAGACAAGAACAUCAAUGGCUAAGCUUUUUAUUUUGUAUACUAUAUAGUCUUCCCUACACAACAAAGAAAAUUAUAAAACUGACAGUAUUCACAGUAGACGUUCCAUGUUCCUUUUAGGGGGGGCAAUGUGAUGUACAUUUGAUUCCUUAUUUCUCUAUAUGUUAAGGGGAUGUUUAUCAGCUGAAACCAAAGCCACCGGCUUGCUACAUUGCAGGUUAAUGUGAAGGGCAGUUAGGAUAAGACUAGCCAUAAAUGCUUAUUUUGUGUCCUGAGGGUUCCUUGUAUUAUAGCAGGGUGACUGUGGUGUGUGUGUAUACACUAUGGGCAGAUUUAUCAAGGGUCGAAUUUCGAAGUAAUGGGAGUUUUUUGAACUUUCUCAAAAUUAUAAUAAAAAAAGUUUAUUAAAAAAUUCUUAGCGUUUGUUCUGCAGGUGAAUAGGCCGUAUUUUUUCGAAUCCGAAAUGUGCGAAUCGAAGUAACAUGGUAUACGCUUAAAAAUGAUUCGAAGUUUUUUU